rnacentral:snoRNA from 1 species
AAUCCAUGGUGUGGGCAUUGUAAUAAAAGUGAUUUUAAGCGAUCCCAUGCUUCAUGAAAAGAUUCAGCAUUCUCUUGAUAAAAAUUAGAAAUUUCACCUCUUAAUUCU